rnacentral:rRNA from 1 species
GGGAGAAUCCUGAAUUCGAAAGGGGUCGGAUUCAAUACCUACCGAGAGUCUGGGGCGCCCCUGCCUGACGGACGCCGGUCGCCCGCUAGCGAUUCACUUCGCCUGCGGUGUCGUUUCCGGCGACCGCACGCUCGGCGCGCAUGCCCGGUUCCGGAGGGGUGCACUUCCUCCCUAGUAGAAACGUCGGGACCCGUUGGGUGCGGGCCUAAGGCCCGGGAUGGCAGACCGUGCGUCCUGCGGGGGUUCCCGCGGGAUUGCGCGGACUCCCGGUGACCCGGCCCGCUGCCCGACGGUAUGACCAGAGGGGUCGAUCCGCUAGUUGGGAAACACUUUGGCUUGUGGAGCGUCCGGCCCGAGGCCGAUGUGCGCGGGGACAGGUGAAAACUUAGUGGGUGCCGUGCUACGCACGGCCCCGGCCCCGUGGCGUCUUCGGUCCUCGGUGUCCUCGGACCGGAUCAGCACCCCCGUCCCCGACGACCACCUUCGGAUGGUCUCCCG